rnacentral:rRNA from 1 species
GAUGAACGCUGGCGGCGUGCUUAACACAUGCAAGUCGAACGAUGAAGCCCAGCUUGCUGGGUGGAUUAGUGUCGAACGGGUGAGUAACACGUGAGUAACCUGCCCUUAACUCUGGGGUAUGCCUUGGGAACUCGGUCUCAUACCGGAGAGGAGCGUCCACCGCAUGGUGGGUGUUGGGAAGAUUUAUCGGUUUUGGAUGGACUCGCGGCUUAUCAGCUUGUUGGUGAGGUAAUGGGUCACCAAGGCGACGACGGGUAGCCGGCCUGAGAGGGUGACCGGCCACACUGGGACUGAGACACGGCCCAGACUCCUACGGGAGGCAGCAGUGGGGAAUAUUGCACAAUGGGCGGAAGCCUGAUGCAGCGACGCCGCGUGAGGGAUGACGGCCUUCGGGUUGUAAACCUCUUUCAGUAGGGAAGAAGCGAAAGUGACGGUACCUGCAGAAGAAGCACCGGCUAACUACGUG